rnacentral:rRNA from 1 species
AGUGAACGCUGGCGGUAGACCUAACACAUGCAAGUCGAACGGCAGCACAGUAAGAGCUUGCUCUUACGGGUGGCGAGUGGCGGACGGGUGAGGAAUACAUCGGAAUCUACUUUUUCGUGGGGGAUAACGUAGGGAAACUUACGCUAAUACCGCAUACGACCUACGGGUGAAAGCAGGGGAUCUUCGGACCUUGCGCGAUUGAAUGAGCCGAUGUCGGAUUAGCUAGUUGGCGGGGUAAAGGCCCACCAAGGCGACGAUCCGUAGCUGGUCUGAGAGGAUGAUCAGCCACACUGGAACUGAGACACGGUCCAGACUCCUAAGGGAGGCAGCAGUGGGGAAUAUUGGACAAUGGGCGCAAGCCUGAUCCAGCCAUACCGCGUGGGUGAAGAAGGCCUUCGGGUUGUAAAGCCCUUUUGUUGGGAAAGAAAAGCAGCAGGUUAAUACCCCGCUGUUCUGACGGUACCCAAAGAAUAAGCACCGGCUAACUUCGUG